rnacentral:rRNA from 1 species
GACGAACCGUCCUAACGUUAUUCGGAUUCACUGGGCUUAAAGGGCGCGUAGGCUGUUUACCAAGUCCGGGGUGAAAUCUUUCGGCUUAACCGGAAAAGUGCCUUGGAUACUGGUGAACUCGAGGGAGGUAGGGGCAUGUGGAACUUCCGGUGGAGCGGUGAAAUGCGCAGAUAUCAGGAGGAACACCGGUGGCGAAGGCGGGUCUCUGGGCCGUAACUGACGCUGAGGAGCGAAAGCGUGGGGAGCGAACAGG